rnacentral:lncRNA from 1 species
GUUUCAAAACCCAAAAAAAGCACCGAUGAGUCAAGGUGGAUUUUCCAUGGUUUUCAGAGUUCAACAAACUGAUCAGAAGAAUCUCAAGAACAAUCCCAGUGAAGGCCUUACAUGCAUCUCUGAUUCUUUUUGUCUUUUGACAGUCCACUCUCUUUUCUCAAAUUGUUUGGACGUUUUCCAGAUUAGGAUGAAGGCUAAAAAGUAAUCCCUUUGGAUGCCGACAGUUCCCACAGUAAGGAGUAAGGAGACAAGGUGGUACAAAUCCAGUGAAGGAAGCUGUUGUUUAAGUCAAGUCAUAGACACUGCUGCAAAUUAAAACAGUUAUUUAGUUCUUCAGUUCAAACCAAGUCCCUUCGGAAACAGGCAAUGGGAGCUGAGAGAUCUUUUGAAGCAAGUGGCACACAUUUCUUUAUUUCUUUUGAACUCGGAAUACAAUCAAGAAAGAGUGGAAAAAGUCAUGCAUGUGCCAG